CCUGAGAUCAGUGGCAGUUGGGAACCUUUUCAUUCGUGACGUACGUACGUCACUCAACACGCGCGUUGCGAGUAUGCUAGCGGCUAGAAGCUAUCUGGCUGUUGCAGCUAGUAGCUUUAUAGUUGUAUUCAUUUAGCGUCACUAAGCUGGGAAAUUGUAUCAUGGACAAAUGUAUUUUCAAACUCCCUCGGACGGAAGAAGAGAUGACGCUGGCUUGAAUAUCCGGUUUAGAUGGAGACAACUUUUUGCUACGCCUGAUGACCUUUUUGGGUGGCACCGUUUCCUUUACAAAUGGAUAUAAGAAUUGGAAAAACGCAACCGGGAGUACGGUACACAAGUUCGCCAUGGAGGUUUGAUCUGCACUUAAACCGGCAGCGACAGAUGGUUCGAGAUUGGGAAAUAUGAUGGAUGUGGGUCAUUCAAAAGUCGUGGAGGAAAACGGUGUGAAUCAUGGCGGGACACCCCAAAAGGAGACAGGCACAGUCCCCUCGAUUUCUACAAGAGUUUGUUGUCGAGGCCCCAACUGAGCGCACACCUGUAACAUCCACAGACGUGCCCCGCACACAUCGUUUCUACCCAAUAACUGACAGACUUGUAGGUGAAACAAGAAAACCUGACAGCAGAGCUACACCAAGUUCAGGUCUGUCGGAAAAAGGAAGAAACUACAGGGACAUAUAAUAAAGGACACGGUGGGGUCUUGCGACCUAGCCGGGAUGCUUAUAUGGAUUUAUACAGACUGACCCUGCGUGUGACCCCUGCUUCCUGCUAUUGCAGUUUGUCCUGCCUUUUUCCUGCGCAUUAGAAACUGUCCACGGAACAGUAGCUUGGACCUGUUGGGCAUCAACAAACAAAGGACAAAGUCUUCGGAUGUCCAGCGCAUCAUUGACACCAACACCCGGCGGAUUGUACUCCUUUGAAAACCUCAUCGGUGGUCACUCAUGGCUUCGUGCUUUGUGUUGGUAUCCAUGUUCCUUUCACCGCCGGUAGUCGAAGCUGCCGCCGUUUGUUUUUCUGAGGAACGUGAUGCGACCCAAUCAGGGAGCGAUUGAGGGUGUCUACGUCCACAGGUCUCCGUUUACACCCGUCCAGACUACAGCGCAACCCUGGAGUUAUGCUAAAUGCAGGAUAGUUUACGGUUUAAAGAGAGCGACACCGGUGGGCGGCGGAGGUACUGCAAGUGGGCCG